rnacentral:rRNA from 1 species
AAACCAACUGGGAUUACCUUAGUAACGGCGAGUGAAGCGGUAAAAGCUCAAAUUUGAAAUCUGGUACUUUCAGUGCCCGAGUUGUAAUUUGUAGAAUUUGUCUUUGAUUAGGUCCUUGUCUAUGUUCCUUGGAACAGGACGUCAUAGAGGGUGAGAAUCCCGUUUGGCGAGGAUACCUUUUCUCUGUAAGACUUUUUCGAAGAGUCGAGUUGUUUGGGAAUGCAGCUCAAAGUGGGUGGUAAAUUCCAUCUAAAGCUAAAUAUUGGCGAGAGACCGAUAGCGAACAAGUACAGUGAUGGAAAGAUGAAAAGAACUUUGAAAAGAGAGUGAAAAAGUACGUGAAAUUGUUGAAAGGGAAGGGCAUUUGAUCAGACAUGGUGUUUUUGCAUGCACUCGCCUCUCGUGGGCUUGGGCCUCUCAAAAUUUCACUGGGGCAACAUCAAUUUUGGCGGCAGGAAAAUCUUUGGAAUGUAGCUACCUCGGUAGUGUUAUAGCCUUUUGAAAUACUGUCAGCUGGGAUUGA